UUUCUUCUCCUUAGUAUCACGAUUCACUUGCGAUGAUUCACCUUUAACAUUUAGAUAGUACAUAAAUCAACACACUUUUCAAAUAAAUAGAUAAAAAAUGCAUGCCUCCUAACUAAAGUUAUUUAUCUCUCGUUUUUCAAUUAUUCGGCGGCCGCUUGCUCCCAUAAUUCCUCCGUUGGGUCCUCGUAUUUUCCACCACGAUGUCAAAUAAAUUCCCAAAAUUUAUUCAAGCGCAUAACUGAAUCAUCGCAACUAUUUCCCUAUUGUUAAGAAAAAUAUAUAUUCCGGACUUGGGAUAAAUUAUUCAUACUUCAAAAAUUAUUCCGGAAUUUAAUUAAAUAUUCGUCAUGAUUAAUUAUCGGCCCAAAACUUCCCUAUUUCCCCACCUUAUAUCUCCAAUUUAAAAUUUUAAAGCCCAAACAAUUAAAUGGAGCCCAUACUUUAAUAAUUCAACCAAUGUCAGUUAAUGAAACCCAAGUCCAUUCAAACAUCUCCUUUACACCUCACACUCCUCUCUCCCCAUCUCUCUAAUUCUCUCUAUCUCGACAAAAUUGGAGCAAUUCUCAAUCCGUCAUCGAUUCGUCCUCGUCGUCCAGCCACCGCCGCCACGGUGCGGUCGACGCAGUCGCCGGGUCAGGCUUCGCCCACCUCCUUUGCACGACGUCGCUGCUGCCGUCGGAGUGGAGAAAUUCUGCCGCCGACCCACCGGAAACAGCUGCUGCUGGCCGCGUCCACACCGUCGCUCAGCGCCACUGAUUUCUGCUGCCGUCGCUGAAUCUCGGAUUCUCCGCAACGAUGAAGCCUUCGUCCGACUCGUCGUCGAUCUCCAGCGGCAGCACGCACGUCGGCGAGAACGGAUCGUCUCUGCGCUCCGCCGCGUUCACUUUCCUCACGAAGCUGCUAUGCCGCUGUCACACCCGCAGGUCCGCCUUCACCGUCAGACGAUCCAGCCGGGCCGCCACUUCUGCUGACACCGAGCUUUUCAAUUCGCAGCAAGGGGGUUUCAAUUUGUGAUGUCCGAUUGGUUUUGAUUGUUGAUUGAGUUAUGUGUGGAAGCAGAAUGCAAAAAUUCUCGUUUUAAAAUUGGGUAGGAAGAAUACCUUGAACAGAUUCCGAAAGAACAACCGGCAGCUCCCUCUCUCGAAUUUGGUUCUCGAUUUCUGCCGGAAGAAGAUUUAAUGAGUUGGUUUGAAUCAUGAAAAAUAAAGGGAACUCCAUUAGAAUUACCUUGAAUUGAAGUUGAGAAGAAUGAGUUUGUGUUUUUCUUGCUGCAGAGACCGAUCAGAAGAAAGAAACUGAUGUGAAGAGUUAAUAUAGAUGGAGGGUGGUUAAAAAUAUGGGAGAUAUUUAGGGGUGAGGGAAGAAACGGUUUCCAUCGUGGAUUGAGGGGAAAUUUCGAAUUCUUCUUUUUUGAAUUAAAUUGAAUUUAUUUGGUA